rnacentral:rRNA from 1 species
UUCAUAACCUCUUUUUUUAAGGAUAGGGUCGGUUCGGCCGGAUUUUACACAAGUGUUGCAUGGCUGUCGUCAGCUCGUGUCGUGAGAUGUUGGGUUAAGUCCCGCAACGAGCGCAACCCUCAUCCUUAGUUGCUAUCAGGUAAUGCUGAGUACUUUAAGGAAACUGCCAGUGAUAAGCUGGAGGAAGGUGGGGAUGAUGUCAAGUCAUCAUGGCCUUUAUGGAGUGGGCUACACACGUGCUACAAUGGUGUCUACAAUGGGCUGCAAGGUGCGCAAGCCUAAGCUAAUCCCUAAAAGACAUCUCAGUUCGGAUUGUACUCUGCAACUCGAGUACAUGAAGUUGGAAUCGCUAGUAAUCGUGGAUCAGCAUGCCACGGUGAAUACGUUCUCGGGUCUUGUACACACUGCCCGUCACGCCAUGGGAAUUGGUUUACCUCCCAAAG